GACGAACGCUGGCGGCGUGCCUAAUACAUGCAAGUAGAACGCUGAAGAGAGGAGCUUGCUCUUCUUGGAUGAGUUGCGAACGGGUGAGUAACGCGUAGGUAACCUGCCUGGUAGCGGGGGAUAACUAUUGGAAACGAUAGCUAAUACCGCAUAAAAUUGAUUAUUGCAUGAUACUUAAUUGAAAGAUGCAACUGCAUCACUACCAGAUGGACCUGCGUUGUAUUAGCUAGUUGGUGAGGUAACGGCUCACCAAGGCGACGAUACAUAGCCGACCUGAGAGGGUGAACGGCCACAAUGGGACUGAGACAAGGCCCAGACUUCUACGGGAGGCAGCAGUAGGGAAACUUCGGCAAUGGGGGGAACCCUGACCGAGCAACGCCGGGUGAGUGAAGAAGGUUUUCGGAUCGUAAAGCUCUGUUGUAAGAGAAGAACGGGUGUGAGAGUGGAAAGUUCACACUGUGACGGUACCUUAACAGAAAGGGACGGCUAACUACGUG
rnacentral:rRNA from 1 species